UCGGGAAUUUUGGGCAAUGGGGGAAACCCUGACCCAGCAACGCCGCGUGAAGGAUGAAGUAUUUCGGUAUGUAAACUUCGAAAGAAUAGGAAGAAUAAAUGACGGUACUAUUUAUAAGGUCCGGCUAACUACGUGCCAGCAGCCGCGGUAAUACGUAGGGACCAAGCGUUGUUCGGAUUUACUGGGCGUAAAGGGCGCGUAGGCGGCAUGACAAGUCACUUGUGAAAUCUCUGGGCUUAACCCAGAACGGCCAAGUGAUACUGUCGCGCUAGAGUGCAGAAGGGGCAAUCGGAAUUCUUGGUGUAGCGGUGAAAUGCGUAGAUAUUAGGAAGAACACCAGUGGCGAAGGCGGCUCACUGGCCCGAUACUGACGCUGAGGUGCGAAAGCGUGGGGAGCAAACAGGAUUAGAUACCCCCGUAGUCCCUGAGCGGGCUGGCAAGGCGCAU
rnacentral:rRNA from 1 species